rnacentral:rRNA from 1 species
UCUGGUUGAUCCUGCCAGAGGUUACUGCUAUCGGUGUUCGACUAAGCCAUGCAAGUCAUAUGUUCUUCGUGAACAUGGCAUACUGCUCAGUAACACGUGGAUAACCUGCCCUUGGGUCUGGGAUAACCCCGGGAAACUGGGGAUAAUACCGGAUAACGCAUAUGUGCUGGAAUGCUUUAUGCGUAAAACGGAUUCGUCCGCCCAAGGAUGGGUCUGCGGCCUAUCAGGUAGUAGUGGGUGUAAUGUACCUACUAGCCAACAACGGGUACGGGUUGUGAGAGCAAGAGCCCGGAGAUGGAUUCUGAGACAUGAAUCCAGGCCCUACGGGGCGCAGCAGGCGCGAAAACUUUACAAUGCGGGAAACCGUGAUAAGGGAACACCGAGUGCCAGCAUCAUAUGCUGGCUGUCCAGAUGUGUAAAGUACAUCUGUUAGCAAGGGCCGGGCAAGACCGGUGCCAGCCGCCGCGGUAACACCGGCGGCCCGAGUGGUGACCGUUAUUAUUGGGUCUAAAGGGUCCGUAGCCGGUUUGGUCAGUCCUCCGGGAAAUCUGAUAGCUUAACUGUUAGGCUUUCGGGGGAUACUGCCAGGCUUGGAACCGGGAGAGGUAAGAGGUACUACAGGGGUAGGAGUGAAAUCUUGUAAUCCCUGUGAGACCACCUGUGGCGAAGGCGUCUUACCAGAACGGGUUCGACGGUGAGGGACGAAAGCUGGGGGCACGAACCGGAUUAGAUACCCGGGUAGUCCCAGCCGUAAACUAUGCUCGCUAGGUGUCAGGCAUGGCGCGACCGUGUCUGGUGCCGCAGGGAAGCCGUGAAGCGAGCCACCUGGGAAGUACGGCCGCAAGGCUGAAACUUAAAGGAAUUGGCGGGGGAGCACAACAACGGGUGGAGCCUGCGGUUUAAUUGGACUCAACGCCGGACAACUCACCGGGGACGACAGCAAAAUGUAGGCCAGGCUGAAGACCUUGCCUGAAUCGCUGAGAGGAGGUGCAUGGCCGUCGCCAGUUCGUACUGUGAAGCAUCCUGUUAAGUCAGGCAACGAGCGAGACCCA